rnacentral:lncRNA from 1 species
CCCCCAUAGAGUUCAAACUCAGUCUAUGCUUCAUACAACAUUCAGAAUUGUGUCAACAUGAUACAUCACACGUGUAUAUGCGACUAGUUUUCUAUGCAUACUUUCUCGAGGCUUGACUUGCGUUCCCUAUUUAUAUUUGCACCACCGCCCCGUUUUCCACUACCGGGAAAGUUUAUGAUGUUUCCGCCGCCGCCUCCAUUUGUGUUUCCACCAGGCUUAUACCAGAUUCCGAAUCCGCUUGGCCAUACUCCAUAACCAUCA